rnacentral:lncRNA from 1 species
ACUAUCCAAAAGAUUUAAAAUUUAAUAAAAAUAUUAAAAUUAUUCUUUUAUGAUGAGUUACCGUGCAAUUCAAUCCUUCAAUCACAAAAUAUCUCAGAAAGGCCAUGGGUAAGAAAAUAUAUCAAACCCAAAUAUCUAUCUAUAUGUAUCUUAAUCUGAUGAUGAUAACUCGAUUGAUGAACCAAUAAAAAUAUUUUCUACUGUUUAUCCCUACUCUGACCG